AUACGGAGGGUGCAAGCGUUAUUCGGAAUCACUGGGCGUAAAGGACGCGUAGGCGGGUUGGCAAGUCAGAUGUGAAAUCCUACAGCUUAACUGUAGAACUGCAUUUGAAACUGCUAACCUAGAGUAUGGGAGGGGGUGAUGGAAUUAGUGGUGUAGGGGUAAAAUCCGUAGAUAUCACUAGGAAUACCGAAAGCGAAGGCGAUCUCCUGGAACAUAACUGACGCUAAGGCGUGAAAGCGUGGGGAGCAAACAGGAUUAGAAACCCUAGUAGUCC
rnacentral:rRNA from 1 species